UAAUAAGAAAUAACUUUUAUACUUAGUUUCGACCUAAAUUUAGGAAAAUUAUUAUUUUCCCUUAUUUU
rnacentral:tRNA from 1 species